rnacentral:rRNA from 1 species
GUGGGGAAUCUUGCGCAAUGGGCGAAAGCCUGACGCAGCCAUGCCGCGUGAAUGAUGAAGGUCUUAGGAUUGUAAAAUUCUUUCACCGGGGACGAUAAUGACGGUACCCGGAGAAGAAGCCCCGGCUAACUUCGUGCCAGCAGCCGCGGUAAUACGAAGGGGGCUAGCGUUGCUCGGAAUUACUGGGCGUAAAGGGCGCGUAGGCGGAUCGUUAAGUCAGGGGUGAAAUCCCAGAGCUCAACUCUGGAACUGCCCUUGAUACUGGCGAUCUUGAGUGUGAGAGAGGUAUGUGGAACUCCGAGUGUAGAGGUGAAAUUCGUAGAUAUUAGGAAGAACACCAGUGGCGAAGGCGACUCACUGGCCCAAUACUGACGCUGAGGCGCGAAAGCGUGGGGAGCAAACAGGAUUAGAAACCCUAGUAGUCC